UACGGGGGGAGCAAGCGUUGUUCGGAUUUACUGGGCGUAAAGGGCGCGUAGGCGGCCACCGCAAGUCAAUUGUGAAAUCUCCGGGCUUAACUCGGAAAGGUCAACUGAUACUGCGGGGCUAGAGUGCGGAAGGGGCAACUGGAAUUCUCGGUGUAGCGGUGAAAUGCGUAGAUAUCGGAAGGAACACCAGUGGCGAAAGCGGCUUCCUGGUCCAGCACCGACGUUCAGGCACGAAAGCGUGGGGAGCAAACAGG
rnacentral:rRNA from 1 species